GACAGAGGGGGCAAGCGUUGCUCGGAAUUACUGGGCGUAAAGGGCGCGUAGGCGGAAUGGCAAGUCGGUCGUGAAAUCCUUCGGCUCAACCGAAGAACGUCGAUCGAAACUGCCGUUCUUGAGGAUUGCAGAGGAGACUGGAAUUCCCGGUGUAGCGGUGAAAUGUGUAGAGAUCGGGAGGAACACCGGUGGCGAAGGCGGGUCUCUGGGCAAUUCCUGACGCUGAGGCGCGAAAGCUAGGGGAGCAAACGGG
rnacentral:rRNA from 1 species